CUUGGUCAUUUAGAGGAAGUAAAAGUCGUAACAAGGUUUCCGUAGGUGAACCUGCGGAAGGAUCAUUCAUAAUAAGUGUUUUAUGGCACUUUUUAAAUCCAUAUCCACCUUGUGUGCAAUGUCAGUCGAUCUUCUUCAUGGAGACCGGCCAAACAUCAACCUUAUUUUUUAACUCUUUGUCUGAAAAAUAUUAUGAAUAAACAAUUCAAGAUACAACUUUCAACAACGGAUCUCUUGGCUCUCGCAUCGAUGAAGAACGCAGCGAAAUGCGAUACGUAAUGUGAAUUGCAGAAUUCAGUGUAUCAUCGAAUCUUUGAACGCAUAUUGCGCUCUUUGGUAUUCCGAAGAGCAUGCUUGUUUGAGUAUCAGUAAACACCUCAAAGCUUUUGGAUUUUUUUUGAAAGCUUUGGACUUGAGCAAUCCCAACGCCAAUCUUUUUCAGAUCGGCGGCGGGUUGCUUGAAAUGCAGGUGCAGCUGGACUUUCUCCUGAGCUAAAAGCAUAUUCAUUUAGUCCCGUCAAACGGAUUAUCACUUUUGCUGCAGCUAACAUAAAGGGAGUUUGACCGUAUUGGCUGACUGAUGCAGGAUUUUACAAGGGUCGGCAACGAUUCUUGUUAAACUCGAUCUCACAUCAAGUAAGACUACCCGCUGAACUUAAGCAUAUCAAUAAGCGGAGGA
rnacentral:rRNA from 1 species